UCGCUAAAUUAGCUGUGUUGUCGUGUGGGAUCUUAGGAAAUGUGGUUUUCUUCUCCUUGAAUACAGAAAUAUUAAAUGACAUGAUGUUCUUGUUACACAAGGUGGAGGCAGGAAUGGAGGUGGAGCAGAGCAGCACUCUGAGAAGGAGUAAGGAGCUGUGGCCAAAGCCUUGAGGAAAGUCAAGAUCCACGCAGGAUGUUCUUGUGGCUUAAAGGAGAACCUCUGAGGAGGCAGAAAGCUGGUUCUUUCUGGAGGGAGAAGGCAUGAGAGACAGACUGGAUUGAAAAGAGAAAGAGGACCCUCAACUCUCCCUAAUUUUCAAGAAUGUUGCCAGUCAAAGAGAGUUCCCCUGGUGGAAUCAAUCUCUUGCUGCCCUGGUGGGUAGGAGCUGCUUUGAGUAGCUUUGGCUUUGUGGUGCUUUCUUGGAGUUUUGGCAAUGAGGGCAACAUCCAGACCCAUGAGAUGUCCCUGCAGCAUGGAGACACCCUCCCUCACUGCAGCUGCUGCCAGCCAGCUUCUUUAUCUGGGAAAUCCUGA
rnacentral:lncRNA from 1 species